rnacentral:rRNA from 1 species
UACGUAGGGUCCAAGCGUUAUUCGGAAUCACUGGGCGUAAAGCGUGCGUAGGUGGCGUGUUAAGUGUGAUGUUAAAUCGUGUGGCUCAACCAUAUCGAUGUGUCGCAUACUGGCAUGCUAGAGGACAGCAGAGGCAAGUGGAAUUUGUAGUGUAGCAGUGAAAUGCGUAGAUAUUACAAGGAACACCAAUGGCGAAGGCAGCUUGCUGGGCUACUCCUGACACUGAGGUACGAAAGCGUGGGGAGCGAACAGG